UGUCUUUGAACUUCACUCCCAGGCUCAGGUCUCUAGUUUCUUGUUUAACGUCCUAAUUAGAAGAAAGUCUUGAGAGGAAUUUUGUCCUGACUGAACAGAUUUUUGACCAGUUAUCAAGGCAUGUCUUGGCUUCAUCCUUAUCCUCUUGCAACAUGGCUCCCAUGUGUGACAAGGCUGUGACCUGGAUAGAUACCAAACUGGCUCGAAGAAAUUGUGUGACUUCUAUGUGAUUCUCCACUUGAGAUUCACAUCUAAUAACAAGGGUCUCCUUUCCUCCGGUAGAGCAGCCUAAGACCCCAGCCCAAGGUGGUGGCACCCACUUUAAGGAUAUGUCUUCUCAGCUCAAUGAACAUAAUCAAGGUAGCUUGAACGCUUAGAAGAUCGCCGGAGUGCCUGCACCAAUCCUGUGUCUGUCUUCUGUUGAAUGGAGCAUCGGGGCUCCUUCCUUGGUUAAGAUGAUUGAGCAGAAAGGAUCCAUUCACAGUUUCAGCAGCAUCUCUGGAAUGGCUAUGUGAAGGAACACUGCAAAGAGCUGGAAUUCCAGUCCGGCUGGAAGAAACAUGGAGCACUCUGGGGGUAUUAACAAGGAAGAAAUACAAAUCGGAUUUGAGCAGAGGGAAGAGAAGCCUCGGCCAGCUGCAUGGGAACAGGAAGGACAUUGCAUGCUACUUUAGCUGGUCUCUUUCCUGCUGGGAAAAGUCAACGCGUAAAUGAUAAAAUUUAUAGUGCAUGGAGGGUUGAGAGCCAGACUCGCAUCAUUUGAGUCUGAAUUCCGGUCCUGAAUAGAAUGCUAUUGUCUCCCUCUGUCCCCCACUUCCAAUGGAAUGGGGCUGCUGCUGAGUGGCAUCACAGUCUUCUCACAGAGUCGGAGGCAUUAGCAAAGGCAAGGCUUUGUUUGGGGAAUCAGACAUUGACACUGAUCUUUAGUUAAAAUGGUCUCAGGAACAGUUAUGUCAUGGCAUCAUCCAUUUCUAGAAGAGGACGGGUCUUAGAAAAGCUGAACUACAAGUUUCUUAUCCAUAGGGCAAGAUGGGCACAGAAGGAGGAAGGUAUGCUCCAGUCUUUCAGGAAGACUCUGCAGGAAGGAUACCGUGGACAAGGGCUGAAAAAUCUAAAUCCCAACCUUGAAAAGAUCAUGUGACAGAUACUGCCUUGCCAUGUACAUGCCCGGAUGAUCCAUCUCUCAUGUCAAUGCCCGUUCUCAUCUGAAAAGUACCCAGCUUGAUCACUCACCUGAGCCACCUGAAAGAUGGGAGCCAAAUCCACUUCCUGCUCAGGUGUCAGGGGAAGGAGAGCCCAUUCUGUCCUGGACUCAGCAGCUGCCAAGACCCUGAGGGCUUGAGAAAAGGAACUCUGAUGACCUGAUGACUUUCUUUGUUGUUGUUAUUGGUUUGUUUUGCUUUGUUUUGUUUCUUAAACGAUAGUGACUUUGUUGGUACUGUCACGAAACCCUCAAAGCAUGUGAGUAUGAGGGAUGAUUGUGAGCAAUGUGGUUUAAAAAUGGAGUCUGAGCAUUGGCCCUGCUAUUGACUACCUCAGGGGAUAAAAUGAAAUAGUUGAGCAAAGUGCUGUCUUUAUACUAAAAUAACCACCAUUCGUUUAUAAUGUACUGAUGCUAUCUCAUCACUUCUGUUUCUAGAAUAAGUCAAAACCAGCGUGUGUGUGUGUGUGUGUGUGUGUGUGUGUGUGUGUGUGUGUGUGCAUGUGGAGGGGGCAGAGAUCAUUGCUGGAUUCUUCUAUUGCUUUCCACCACGUCAGAAGCAAGGUCUCUCACUAAGCCUGCAGCUCACUCUUAGGACAAGAGCAGUUGGCCAAUGGGAUCUAGAGACACUUCAGUCUUUACCUCCCCAGUGUUAGGGGACAAGCAUGUGUCACCUCCCCAGCCUUUUACAUAUUUGCUGCAGCUCUCACCACUGGUCUUCAUGGUUGUGUGGCAAUCACUUUAAUGACUGAGCCUUUUCCACAGCUUUCUUCAGUUAAUGUUAAAAGGCCAAUCUAGGGGCCAGUGAGAUGGCUCAGCAGGUAAAGGCACUGUAUUUCCUGCCAAGCCUGGCAACUUAAGUUUGGUCUCUGGGACUUACAGCAUGGAGAGAAUUAUAAAUUGAGCUCUCUCCUCUACAUAUGCACAAAGACACCUGUGUAGCCCAAAUAAAAUAAAUAGGCAUUUUAGAAA
ensembl:lincRNA Pinc pregnancy induced noncoding RNA